rnacentral:rRNA from 1 species
AUAGCGUAUAUUAAAGUUGUUGCAGUUAAAAAGCUCGUAGUUGAACUUCAGAUUUGGUCGGGUGGUCCGCUUAACGGCGUGUUACUGCUUGGCUGGGUCUUGUCUCUUGGUGAACCAUUGUGCCCUUUAUUGGUGUGCUUUGGGGAACCAGGACUUUUACCUUGAGAAAAUUAGAGUGUUCAAAGCAGGCCUAUGCCUGGAUACAUUAGCAUGGAAUAAUAGAAUAGGACGUGUGGUUCUAUUUUGUUGGUUUCUAGAAUUGCCGUAAUGAUUAAUAGGGAUAGUUGGGGGCAUUAGUAUUCAGUUGCUAGAGGUGAAAUUCUUGGAUUUACUGAAGACUAACUACUG